rnacentral:rRNA from 1 species
AAUCACUUGUCUUUUAAAUGAAGACCUGUAUGAAAGGUAUGACGAGGGCUUAACUGUCUCCUUUUCCAAGUCAAUGAAAUUGAUCUCCCCGUGCAGAAGCGGGGAUUAUAACAUAAGACGAGAAGACCCUGUGGAGCUUGAGACGCAAGGCUGGCUCCCGUUAAACAAGCCCAUGAAGCUACAAACUAAAGGAUUACCACCCUAGUGUCUUCGGUUGGGGCGACCAUGGGGAAAACAAAUCCCCCACGUGGAAUGAGAGCACCAACCCCCUUCCCAUAACACCCCUCUCACAAACCAGAGCCACAACUCCAAUUAACAGAACUUCUGACCAAAAAUGAUCCGGCAGUGCCGAUCAACGAACCAAGUUACCCCAGGGAUAACAGCGCAAUCCCCUUUUAGAGCCCCUAUCGACAAGGGGGUUUACGACCUCGAUGUUGGAUCAGGACAUCCUAAUGGUGCAACCGCUAUUAAGGGUUCGUUUGUUCAACGAUUAA